CGACGAAGAUGGGAUUCGAACCCACACGGGUAGAGCCCAAUGGAUUAGCAGUCCAUGCCAACCCACUCAGCCUCUUCCUU